AGCAAAGCAAAGCAAAGCAGGGCCGGGAGGUCAGUCAUGUUUUUCGAUAACGUGGUGUUUGCCGGGGUUCUCACGGUGGGGCUCAUGGUGCUGUUUUUUGCAGGGUUUGGAUUUUUUAUCUGGAAGGAUGCGCAUAAGCGGCGCAAGUGAGUUCUUCUGGAUUGAUGGGCACGCAAGGCAUUUUGGGGCGACUUCGGUUGCCCUUUUUUUUU
rnacentral:sRNA from 1 species